rnacentral:rRNA from 1 species
UACGUAGGUGGCAAGCGUUGUCCGGAUUUAUUGGGUUUAAAGAGCUCGUAGGCGGCUCAGUAAGUCAGGUGUGAAAACUCCAGGCUCAACCUGGAGACGCCACCUGAUACUGCUGUGGCUAGAGUCCGGUAGGGGAGCAUGGAAUUCCUGGUGUAGCGGUGAAAUGCGCAGAUAUCAGGAGGAACACCAGUGGCGAAGGCGGUGCUUUGGGCCGGAACUGACGCUGAGGAGCGAAAGCGUGGGGAGCAAACAGG